rnacentral:rRNA from 1 species
CCUGACGGAGCAAGACCGCGUGGGGGAAGAAGGCUCUUGGGUUGUAAACCCCUUUUCUCUGGGAAGAAAGUUGUGAAAGCAACCUGACGGUACCAGAGGAAUCAGCAUCGGCUAACUCCGUGCCGGCAGCCGCGGUAAGACGGAGGAUGCAAGCGUUAUCCGGAAUGAUUGGGCGUAAAGCGUCCGCAGGUGGCAGUUCAAGUCUGCUGUCAAAGACCGGGGCUCAACCUCGGAAAGGCAGUGGAAACUGAACAGCUAGAGUAUGGUAGGGGCAAAGGGAAUUCCUGGUGUAGCGGUGAAAUGCGUAGAGAUCAGGAAGAACAUCGGUGGCGAAGGCGCUUUGCUGGACCAUAACUGACACUCAGGGACGAAAGCUAGGGGAGCGAAUGGGAUUAGAUACCCCAGUAGUCCUAGCCGUAAACGAUGGAUACUAGGUGUUGUCUGUAUCGACCCGGACAGUGCCGUAGCUAACGCGUUAAGUAUCCCGCCUGGGGAGUACGCACGCAAGUGUGAAACUCAAAGGAAUUGACGGGGGCCCGCACAAGCGGUGGAGUAUGUGGUUUAAUUCGAUGCAACGCGAAGAACCUUACCAGGACUUGAC